rnacentral:rRNA from 1 species
UGGGGAAUAUUGCACAAUGGGCGCAAGCCUGAUGCAGCCAUGCCGCGUGUAUGAAGAAGGCCUUCGGGUUGUAAAGUACUUUCAGCGAGGAGGAAGGCGUUGUGGUUAAUAACCGCAACGAUUGACGUUACUCGCAGAAGAAGCACCGGCUAACUCCGUGCCAGCAGCCGCGGUAAUACGGAGGGUGCAAGCGUUAAUCGGAAUUACUGGGCGUAAAGCGCACGCAGGCGGUCUGUCAAGUCGGAUGUGAAUCCCCGGGCUCAACCUGGGAACUGCAUCCGAAACUGGCAGGCUAGAGUCUUGUAGAGGGGGGUAGAAUUCCAGGUGUAGCGGUGAAAUGCGUAGAGAUCUGGAGGAAUACCGGUGGCGAAGGCGGCCCCCUGGACAAAGACUGACGCUCAGGUGCGAAAGCGUGGGGAGCAAACA